UGAGUCCGGCGUGCUAAGGCAUGUCAGUAAGAAAGCCAAGCUUCCAAGAAAAGCUCUAAACACGAUAAGUAUAUGGUGCCUGUACCAGAAACCGACACAGGUAGGGAGGUUGAGAAUACCAAGGGCCGCGAGAUAACUCUCUCUAAGGAACUCGGCAAAAUGACCCCGUAACUUCGGGAGAAGGGGUGCCCAUUGAAAGAUGGGUCGCAGUGAAGAGUCCCAGGCGACUGUUUACCAAAAACACAGGUCUCCGCAAACUCGAAAGAGGAAGUAUGGGGGCUGACGCCUGCCCAGUGCCGGAAGGUUAAGGAAGUUGGUCAGGGGGAAACCUUGAAGCUAGCGACUGAAGCCCCGGUGAACGGCGGCCGUAGCUAUAACGGUCCUAAGGUAGCGAAAUUCCUUGUCAGGUAAGUUCUGACCCGCACGAAAGGCGUAACGAUCUGGGAGCUGUCUCAGAGAGAGACUCGGCGAAAUAGGAUUGUCUGUGAAGAUACGGACUACCUACACCUGGACAGAAAGACCCUAUGAAGCUUUACUGUAUCCUGGCAUUGACUUCGGGCUGUGAUUGCGCAGAAUAGGUGGGAGACGAAGAGAUAGGCCUUGUGGGGUCUGUGGAGUCAUCGGUGAGAUACCACUCUAUCGCAGCUAGAAGUCUAACAUCGGUCCAUAAACUGGAGGAUGAACAUUGUCAGGUGGGCAGUUUGACUGGGGCGGUCGCCUCCUAAAAAGUAACGGAGGCGCGCAAAGGUUCUCUUAGACUGGAUGGAAAUCAGUCGAUAAGUGUAAAGGCAGAAGAGAGCUUGACUGUGAGAGGGACAACUCGGACAGGGACGAAAGUCGGCCUUAGUGAUCCGACGGUGCCGAGUGGAAGGGCCGUCGCUCAACGGAUAAAAGUUACUCUAAGGAUAACAGGCUGAUCUCCCCCAAGAGUUCACAUCGACGGGGAGGUUUGGCACCUCGAUGUCGGCUCAUCGCAACCUGGGGCGGUAGUACGUCCCAAGGGUUGGGCUGUUCGCCCAUUAAAGCGGUACGUGAGCUGGGUUCAGAACGUCGUGAGACAGUUCGGUCCAUAUCCGGUGUAGGCGAAAGAGUAUUGAGAGGAGUCUUCCUUAGUACGAGAGGACCGGGAAGAACGCACCGCUGGUGUACCAGUUAUCGUGCCAACGGUAAACGCUGGGUAGCUAAGUGCGGAGAGGAUAACCGCUGAAAGCAUCUAAGUGGGAAGCCCACCUCAAGAUGAGUACUCUCAUGGCGUAGGCCAGUAAGGUCACGGGAAGAACACCCGUUAAUAGGAUGUAGAUGGAAGUCGAGUAAUUGAUGAAGUCGAGCAUUACUAACAGACCGAGGGCUUGUCC
rnacentral:rRNA from 1 species